GUGACACUUGAAUAACAUAAAGAAACAUUAAUAAUGAUUAUAAUUUUAGAAGGAUUUUAUUUGACACAAACAGUGCAUAAUUUUUUUUAUUAUAAAAUGAUCCAACCAUUUUCUAUUGGUUACAUACAAAUGAGAAAAAAUAUGGCUGCAAUUAUCAAGUUUGUGUAUGCUAUCAUCCUAUUUAUUUCUCUACUUUUUGUUGUAACUGAGGCCUUUCAAGAAGAUAUCCUAAACAAAAAUUGCACAAAUGUCUUUGAAUAUCAAUAUCCU